UAAGAAGAUGGCUGAGUGGUUUAAAGCGAUAGACUGUAAAUCUAUUAAGAAAAAAAAACAUAGGUUCGAAUCCUAUUCUUCUUAA
rnacentral:tRNA from 1 species